rnacentral:lncRNA from 1 species
UCGGCUCCUUCAAGUUUGCCUCCGGUACAUCCAUUAUUAGUUCCACCGCUAAUUCUUUUCUCUCCUUAAGAGAGCAGUAGUUCCGUCUCAUUUUUUGCUUACCGAGGAGGAUCUGCUCGUUCGUUUCUGUUCAGCGCCGGCGGCCCGGAGGGGCGUUGGUCAAGGAUGUCGGUGAGGAAAAGUCCAGUCUCCUCUGGUCAGGCCUGGUGGGAGGCGUGGCGGCUGGGAGUGCAUUGGUGGAUGUGUGUCGAGUGGGCGCGUUGGCCGGCUGUCCACAAGGACAAGGGGAGAGGCAGGUGCCGUGGUCCUGGCCUGGGUGUGGUUCGUCGUGCUUGCCGGUGGAGAAGGUCGGGCGGUGUGAGUGCUCCUGUUCUCGAGGUUCUCUUCUGCUGUACGCCAUCGCUACGUUGGGGGUGGGGUGGGGCGGGGUGUUUGGUGCCGCCUCGGUUCCCUGUCCCGGUCCCAUCUAUUCUUCCUCCCUUCUCUUUGAUUCCGGGGCAGCGAGGUACGUGGUUCUUCCCUCUAUAUAUUUUGUAAAUCCACUAAGCUCCCUGAAAAUUGAGCAUCGGGAGAGCUCCGACGUUUUCCUUCGAACCGGACCAUGGGUUGUUGCUUGAGCGGAAUCAGUUUUGGAGGAUCCUUAGACCAAGGGAAUUGGGGUAUCUGAACCCCGGCGAGCCGUGUUGUUAGCUGUUACAGCCACCGUCUCUCUGGGAGGCAGGUAGAAAUAGAGAGGGAAAUGAAGGAUCGAGAGGGAAGACGGGAUGACAUAAAGGAGACAACGAAAGAAGAACGCACGUCCCUUCUUUCCCGUCGUUGCUUGAGUGUCGAUCCAGUCUGAAUAUCCCUUUUCUUGCCUACAAAUUCUGUAACGCAGUUCCCUUCUAUCCCUGUAAUCUUACUCAAAACUGAAUUCCUGUAACCUCUGCUGCUCUGUCUGAAUUUUCUCAACAUUUGCUUCUCCUCUUUUGAUUCAGUUCAUAGUACUGUUAGUGCCGCUCAUAAUUUUGGUAGAAAUCCUUUCUUUUUAGUUUAACUGUACCUUCUGUUUACUUCCUUCUACUGCGUGAAAUGAAUCCAGUUCCUAAUUGUUUGGUCAAUCUGUUCAUUCAGUUAUAGUUUAAAAAAAAGUGUCCUGUUUAUUGUGUUCCUGCAUGCACUUGUUCUGAACCUUACUUACUGCUGUUUUAUUUAGUGUUUUUUUUUGCGAGGUAGGGAGCUUAGUGCUAUAGAGGAUAUAUUGACCAUUGAUUGAUUAUGAUACUGAAAGCAGAAAAAUGAUGUGAGCAGGACAAGCAUAACCGCAGGGGGGAGCACCGAAAUGGACUCGCAACGGGACAACUCCGACACUGACAAGAGUGGCAACCCAGAUUCCAAACCGAGCAAGAGCACGCAAGCAUUCACAUUUCUCCAACAAACUAGCAACGAUGGAAGCUUUGACUACGAAAGGGCUGAUGAGAAAACGUGCAUUUCGUGUUGUUUCUGGAUGGUUGUAACAUUUUUGUGUAUGAUUUAUUUGUAGAGGCUAUUGGUUUUCUACUACUUAAACAAUUUAUCUGUACUACACCGGUUGUCCUGACGAUGUGCUGCUGUAAGUUGUUAACAGUGCUGUGUGCAGUACACCUGGUUGUAGGAUCAUUAGUGACACUCUUGUGUGUGAAUUUAAAGCAAUUUCAAAUAGCCAUCCGAAAUUGCUGGCAUUUCACGGAAGGCAAAGAGUGACCAAGCAAGAAGCACAUCGUCCAUUGCUUUGCUCACUAGGAGAGGUCGAGAGGCCACCAUGCAUGCCUGCCCAACGUACAACAGCGCGAGCCCCCGCCAAGGGAGGAAGAAAAUCAGAUCCCACCACACCACACCACACAAAACCUCACCUCACCACACAUGUUGACAUGUACAACACCACCCCGCAAAAUCCAGGGCAAAACGCCCUAAGCAUCACCAGAUCGUCGCAUGCAGUCGGUUGGAGAUCACUCGACGGCGACGCUGGAGGCCGAGCCGGCAG